UACGUAGGGUGCAAGCGUUGUCCGGAAUUAUUGGGCGUAAAGAGCUCGUAGGCGGUCUGUCGCGUCGAAUGUGAAAACCCGGGGCUCAACCCCGGGCCUGCAUUCGAUACGGGCAGACUAGAGUUCGGUAGGGGAGUCUGGAAUUCCUGGUGUAGCGGUGAAAUGCGCAGAUAUCAGGAGGAACACCGGUGGCGAAGGCGGGACUCUGGGCCGAUACUGACGCUGAGGAGCGAAAACGUGGGGAGCAAACAGG
rnacentral:rRNA from 1 species